GUCCGUUCAUCCCUUAUGGGACGCAUGCAAUCAGAUCAUGGAACGGGGGUCUGAU
ncrna:unclassified sequences Glutamine-II riboswitch (downstream peptide RNA)